AUGGUGCAUCCGGUGGCGGAGGCCGACGAGCGGAGCCCCAUGGGCGGGCUCACCGCCGACGAGUACUACGCGCGCCACGGGGUCACGCACACCUCCUCCACCUUCGUCAACCCGCGGGGGCUCCGCAUCUUCACCCAGCGCUGGGUGCCCAGCGGGGACGCCCCCGUGCUCGGCGCCAUCGCCGUCGUCCACGGCUUCACCGGCGAGUCCAGCUGGAUGGUGCUCCUCACCGCCGUCCACUUCGCCAAGCAGGGCUUCGCCGUGGCCGCCGUCGACCACCAGGGCCACGGCUUCUCCGAGGGCCUGCAGGCCCACAUCCCGGACAUCACCCCGGUCCUCGACGACUGCGAGGCCGCCUUCGCGCCCUUCCGCGCCGACUACCCGCCGCCGCUGCCCUGCUUCCUCUACGGCGAGUCCCUCGGCGGCGCCAUCGCGCUGCUGCUGCACCUCCGGGACAAGCCCCGCUGGCGCGACGGCGCCGUGCUCAACGGCGCCAUGUGCGGGGUGAGCCCCCGGUUCAUGCCGCCCUGGCCGCUGGAGCACCUGCUCUGGGCGGCGGCCGCCGUCGCGCCCACCUGGCACGUCGCCUUCACCAGGGGGAACAUCCCCGGCCGGUCCUUCAAGGUGGAGUGGAAGCGCGCGCUGGCGCUGGCCAGCCCGCGCCGCACCACGGCGCCGCCCCGCGCCGCCACCGCGCUCGAGCUCCUCCGGGUGUGCCGGGAGCUGCAGGCGCGGUUCGAGGAGCUGGAGCUGCCGCUGCUGGCCGUGCACGGCGGCGACGACACGGUGUGCGACCCGGCGUGCGUGGAGGAGAUGCACCGCCGCGCGGGGAGCAAGGACAAGACGCUGCGCGUGUACCCCGGGAUGUGGCACCAGAUCGUCGGCGAGCCCGAGGAGAACGUGGAGCAGGUCUUCGCCGACGUCCUCGACUGGCUCAAGGCCCGCGCCGCCGGUCCGCACUCCGCACUAGUUGGUUAG
rnacentral:rRNA from 1 species